UCGAACGAAGUUAUUUGAGCUUGCUUAGAUAACUUAGUGGCGGACGGGUGAGUAACACGUGAGCAAUCUGCCUUUCAGAGGGGGAUACCGAUUGGAAACGAUCGUUAAUACCGCAUAACAUAGUAAAUUCGCAUGUUUUUACUAUCAAAGAUUUAUCGCUGAAAGAUGAGCUCGCGUCUGAUUAGGUAGUUGGUGAGGUAACGGCCCACCAAGCCGACGAUCAGUAGCCGGACUGAGAGGUUGAACGGCCACAUUGGGACUGAGACACGGCCCAGACUCCUACGGGAGGCAGCAGUGGGGAAUAUUGCACAAUGGAGGAAACUCUGAUGCAGCGAUGCCGCGUGAGGGAAGAAGGUUUUCGGAUUGUAAACCUCUGUGUACAGGGACGAUAAUGACGGUACCUGUUCAGAAAGCUCCGGCUAACUACGUGCCAGCAGCCGCGGUAAUACGUAGGGAGCGAGCGUUGUCCGGAAUUACUGGGUGUAAAGGGAGUGUAGGCGGGACGGCAAGUCAGAUGUGAAAUUUAGGGGCUCAACCCCUGACCUGCAUUUGAAACUGCUGUUCUUGAGUGAAGUAGAGGUAAGCGGAAUUCCUAGUGUAGCGGUGAAAUGCGUAGAUAUUAGGAGGAACAUCAGUGGCGAAGGCGGCUUACUGGGCUUUAACUGACGCUGAGGCUCGAAAGCGUAGGGAGCAAACAGGAUUAGAUACCCUGGUAGUCCACGCCGUAAACGAUGAUUACUAGGUGUGGGGGGACUGACCCCUUCCGUGCCGCAGUUAACACAAUAAGUAAUCCACCUGGGGAGUACGGUCGCAAGACUGAAACUCAAA
rnacentral:rRNA from 1 species